rnacentral:lncRNA from 1 species
UCACAUUUGUCUCCCUGUGACCUGCAGGUGCUAUGAGGUCCAUAAGAAGGAUGUCAGGUCUCCCCAGAAGGCGGAAAAUGGUGAGUGUGUGGGGCAGGUCUGGUCAGGUGGGAAGUAGGCUUGUUACAAGUGGUGAACCAGCUGUGGCUGGCCUCUGGCCUCCCACUGUCAUCUCUAUAGUCAGCCAAGAGUACCUGAGUCAGAUGCUGCUUUAGCUCAGCCCUUGAUGGCCAUGGUAUGGGCUGGUGCAGAUGGGUUCCCAGUGUACUGCCUGGUCUGCAGCCACUUUGGCAGAACCCUCUCUGCCCAGCUAGACCCCAGCCCUAAGUACUCAGUGUGAAGUAAAGGCAGCGGGUCUCAGGGGAUCCUGCCUUAAGUGUGGGGCUCCUGGGUAGAAGAUGCUGGUCUGAGGGAUCUGUGUUUCUUCUCUCAAGGAGUCACCCUCCUUUCCCCCUCCUAUGCUCUACCAGGGCUUUUGGUACAUUCUUAAUAUUCCUGUCCUUUUCUCAUAUUUACAGAUCUGACUCUCCCUCCAAGUUCACAGCCUUUUCAUCUCUUUUUGUGAAUUUCCCAUAUGAUGAAAGGAGAGAACAGUCACCUGGAACUUCACUGUUAAGAGAACUUGUGCCUGCCUCUCUCUCUCUCUCUCUCUUUUUUUUUUCCUUCCCCAGGAAUUGAUACCUUAUCAAAUUGUGGAGAGGUUUCCUUUGGACCCCUGACAGGGUUCCAUGUUUUCAACCACUGUAUUGCCCCGCUUGUGGCUGUGUCAAGUCCUGUAGGCACCCUGUGUCCUACAGGAAGCAGGCAAUUUUAGUCCCUGGGUCAGCUCCUUCUAGAGGACAUUGUGAAGUGUGUCAUUUAGCUUGUGAGGGGAGUAGCUGGAGGCCCUUAUGCUGAGGAGUCUCUUGGAAUAGGCCUCAUCUAGACAGCUGCCUCCUAGGGACACUGUCUCCCCCAAGCCCUGUUCCCAUUCCUUGGAGACAGGUAGACAGUUAGCCUGUGGAUGCUGGUGCUGAGGGGCCAGGUCACAGUGAUUCCUGCUCUUGCAUUCUCUCACAGUUGUGAAGGAGGAAAACUCUCCCAGAGCAUAAGGACCACCAACCCCAGUGCAGUGCUGUGCAAACCUGAUAAGACUUGUAGCCUGGAGUCAUGGUCAGGUCUCCUGGGAGGGUGAUCAUGGAGUGUUUCAGUGAGCAAGACCAGGUGUGAGAUGUCCAGCUGGCAGGGACCUUACCUGCCCCUUGAGCCUGACACAACUGUGCUCCCUUAGCACCAGCCCUUUC